UAGCUCAGUUGGUUAGAGCGUGGUGCUAAUAACGCCAAGGUCACAGGUUCAAUCCCUUU
rnacentral:tRNA from 1 species